rnacentral:rRNA from 1 species
AAGGAAGAUUAAUACAAGAUGGCAUCAUGAGUCCGCAUGUUCACAUGAUUAAAGGUAUUCCGGUAGACGAUGGGGAUGCGUUCCAUUAGAUAGUAGGCGGGGUAACGGCCCACCUAGUCUUCGAUGGAUAGGGGUUCUGAGAGGAAGGUCCCCCACAUUGGAACUGAGACACGGUCCAAACUCCUACGGGAGGCAGCAGUGAGGAAUAUUGGUCAAUGGGCGAGAGCCUGAACCAGCCAAGUAGCGUGAAGGAUGACUGCCCUAUGGGUUGUAAACUUCUUUUAUAAAGGAAUAAAGUCGGGUAUGGAUACCCGUUUGCAUGUACUUUAUGAAUAAGGAUCGGCUAACUCCGUGCCAGCAGCCGCGGUAAUACGGAGGAUCCGAGCGUUAUCCGGAUUUAUUGGGUUUAAAGGGAGCGUAGAUGGUUGUUUAAGUCAGUUGUGAAAGUUUGCGGCUCAACCGUAAAAUUGCAGUUGAUACUGGAUAUCUUGAGUGCAGUUGAGGCAGGCGGAAUUCGUGGUGUAGCGGUGAAAUGCUUAGACAUCACGAAGAACUCCGAUUGCGAAGGCAGCCUGCUAAGCUGCAACUGACAUUGAGGCUCGAAAGUGUGGGUAUCAAACAGGAUUAGAUACCCUGGUAGUCCACACGGUAAACGAUGAAUACUCGCUGUUUGCGAUAUACUGCAAGCGGCCAAGCGAAAGCGUUAAGUAUUCCACCUGGGGAGUACGCCGGCAACGGUGAAACUCAAAGGAAUUGACGGGGGCCCGCACAAGCGGAGGAACAUGCGGUUUAAUUCGAUGAUACGCGAGGAACCUUACCCGGGCUUAAAUUGCAGAUGAAUUACGGUGAAAGCCGUAAGCCGCAAGGCAUCUGUGAAGGUGCUGCAUGGUUGUCGUCAGCUCGUGCCGUGAGGUGUCGGCUUAAGUGCCAUAACGAGCGCAACCCUUGUUGUCAGUUACUAACAGGUUCCGCUGAGGACUCUGACAAGACUGCCAUCGUAAGAUGUGAGGAAGGUGGGGAUGACGUCAAAUCAGCACGGCCCUUACGUUCGGGGCUACACACGUGUUACAAUGGGGGGUACAGAGGGCCGCUACCACGCGAGUGGAUGCCAAUCCCCAAAACCUCUCUCAGUUCGGACUGGAGUCUGCAACCCGACUCCACGAAGCUGGAUUCGCUAGUAAUCGCGCAUCAGCCACGGCGCGGUGAAUACGUUCCCGGGCCUUGUACU